rnacentral:lncRNA from 1 species
AUGGGGAUAAACCAUUAUAGAUGUGUACCAAGAGUAAUAUAUCCGAAUACUCCAAUAUGGAUUAUUCCUCAGCCAGUAGUAGAUUUAACAUUACUGGAGAUAAGACAGAGUGAAGGAAAUAAUGGGAUGGAAGUAAUGAGAAAAAAUGAGUAUUUAAGAAUAACAUAUGGAGAUAGUAUACAGAUUUACACCGAUGCUUCCAAAAAAGGAAGGAGAGUAGGAGUGGCAGUCAAUGUGCCAAAGUUAAUGGUGAAGAAAAAAGCUAGAAUUAGUGACCAGUUGUCAAUAUAUACAGGUGAGUUGAUGGCUAUUUUGCUAGGAGUACAAAUAAUUAAGGAAAGGAAAAUAAAAAAUGCAGUCAUAUGUUCAGAUUCUUAUUCAGCAAUAGUUAGUAUCUAUAAUCAAAAAUCUGAAUCAAGGCCAGAUUUAAUCAUGGAAAUUCUUCAAAAUCUCUUUGAGUUGAAACAAAUUAAAAUAGAAGUACAGUUUAUGUGGGUCCCAGCUCAUGUGGGAAUUAAAGGCAAUGAGGAAGCAGAUAAAUUAGCUAAACAAGUAGUAGAUGAAGAUAGGGUAGAAAUUGAGUUAUCACAUAGUUUAAAAGAAAUCAAAUCAGUAAUAAAGGAGGAAAUGAUUAAAAAGUGGCAACAAUAUUGGGAUAAUGAGAGUAAAGGUAGACAUUUAUAUGCAAUACAAAAGAAAGUGGGAAAAGGUAGGAAAAGAGGGAGAAAUAGAAGGGAGGAAAGUAUAAUUACAAGACUAAGGGUGGGACAUACCGGUUUGAAUAAAACAUUACAUUUAAUAUCUAAGCAUCCAACGGGUUUGUGUGAGAAAUGUGGACAAAGUGAAACUGUGGAACAUGUGUUUAUUAAUUGUAAUGGUUAUGAUGAAGAAAGAGAAGUGCUAAGAGAAGAAUUAUGGAAGAAUGAAGGGAAAGAGUUAACAUUAAAGAAUAUAUUAGACUUGGAUAUAGGAAAUAGUAUGGUUAAUGUGUUGUUUCAGUUUUUGAAUAAUACUGGUUUAAUGAAUAGAUUGUAG